rnacentral:lncRNA from 1 species
UUCCAGCUGUAGAUCCGUGCCUUGAGUAAACCAAAUAUGCAGGGACAAAGUUUACUUUGUGCUCCAUUUCCACGGCCUUCACUUUUUGGUUUGAAAAACAAAAUGCAACUAAAACCAUUUCCAGAUAUAGACAAAAGAGCAAAUGAUUAGUGUCCCUUGACAUAAACGGUUUAAUAAACCAAAGUGGCCUCAAUUUAGUUUCUGCACAUACACGGCACCAUAAUGCUAGCUUGAAUGUGUACUGAAGUGAACAAAUAUCAGUGUGUGAGCCUCUCGCUGGAAGACACGCUUCACUGCAGGAGGCAUAAAUAACUGGCGCUUUUUUUUCUGAAACACUUAGACAUAGUCAAGACCACUUGACUAUGGUUAGGUGUACCUUAAAAAUAUUCUUUCUUUCAAUUCUGGUACCUAGCAGAAGCCCCAAAAGACCUAUCAGGGUCUUGUAACAAUGGUCCUUUUGGAAGCACUGACUAUGGUUAGGUGUACCUUAAAAAUAGUCUUUCAAUUCUGGCACCUA